rnacentral:rRNA from 3 species
AAACUUUCAACAACGGAUCUCUUGGUUCUGGCAUCGAUGAAGAACGCAGCGAAAUGCGAUAAGUAAUGUGAAUUGCAGAAUUCAGUGAAUCAUCGAAUCUUUGAACGCACAUUGCGCCCCUUGGUAUUCCGGGGGGCAUGCCUGUUCGAGCGUCACUU